rnacentral:lncRNA from 1 species
ACUGUGCUGUGGUGCGCUGUGCCCUGGCUGCUGUGUUUGACCUCUGACCUCGCUUGCAGGUGGGCGCGGGAGGAGCGAGGUGCCUUGUCCAGAGUUUGACAAUAACAAUCAGGGGCAGUCUGACUCCCACUGUCUGACAGGCCUGGACAAUGAACAGGCUCCUGACGGCCGAUUCGCUGAUGAGGACUCGUGUCCUGUUCACAUUGAGGAAUAGGGCUGCUGUACCUGGAAGCCUACCAACGUUCCAUCGAGCCUCUGCCUCGCCAAGCUUCCACCAGCAACAUCAACCUGGAGGAGCCGGGGGUCAGCAACCGGGGGCCGAGCCCCAAAAACACACCAAAAACUCGCCGCGGACCACUAGCUGUGUAAAACACAUCCCUCCAGUACCGCCAGCUGCUGCAUCCGGCUGCACAACCCGACCCUGAUCCUGAUCCUGAUCCUGAUCCAACACGAGGCUCUAAAACUCCCGAAAUAUCGCAUCAACUCGCCCUCUGUACCCUGAGUCAACUCAAACUAUAGUUUUUAACUCUGAUUUUUAGUUUUCAACUCUUUAGAAGUAGCUUAAAUAAGGGUGAAAACCU